ACUCCUACGGGAGGCAGCAGUGGGGAAUAUUGCACAAUGGGCGCAAGCCUGAUGCAGCCAUGCCGCGUGUAUGAAGAAGGCCUUCGGGUUGUAAAGUACUUUUCAGCAGUGAGGAAGGUGGGUAUGUUAAUAGCAUAUUCAUUUGACGUUAGCUGCAGAAGAAGCACCGGCUAACUCCGUGCCAGCAGCCGCGGUAAUACGGAGGGUGCGAGCGUUAAUCGGAAUUACUGGGCGUAAAGCGCAUGCAGGUGGUUUGUUAAGUCAGAUGUGAAAGCCCGGGGCUCAACCUCGGAAUUGCAUUUGAAACUGGCAAACUAGAGUACUGUAGAGGGGGGUAGAAUUUCAGGUGUAGCGGUGAAAUGCGUAGAGAUCUGAAGGAAUACCGGUGGCGAAGGCGGCCCCCUGGACAGAUACUGACACUCAGAUGCGAAAGCGUGGGGAGCAAAACAGGAUUAGAUACCCUGAUAGGCUCUGC
rnacentral:rRNA from 1 species